AUACUGACCUGGUAGGGGAGAUGCCAAGAUCAAAAUGUUAGUUAUAUAAGGUGCAGCUUAUCAAUUGGACUCCUGAUGACUGCUGCAUAAUUUGUCAUAGUGUGGGAUUACGUUCAUGCUCCCACC
rnacentral:snRNA from 7 species